CUGAAGGAAGGGGAAGAAUGCCAGAGUAUUUUGGGAACCAGUUUUAUUGCAAAGCUGUUAAGAAAAUGUUGAUGCAGCUGGGGAGGAUUUUGCUAUUCUUUCAGACUGAAGUUUCAUGGAAUAGUGAUGGUUUUCUUUGCUCAAUAGAUGAUAAUGAACGGGUUUGAUAAAAAGUGAAAAUAAGGGCUAUUGUGGUUCUUUGUGGAAAAUAGUUCUAUCCAAACCAUAAAAGUCAUGAACUUUAAUAGAGUUUUAAGAUGAAUUUGAACUUUGUGGCUUGGGGUCAGUUUUCAGCACCAAUCUAGCAUAUUUUCCUGUACCCAGUAUGUCACUGUUCCUGAUCUUCAGAGACUAAGGAAAUUUCUCAGAACAUUUUCAACCAAAUAGAAGUACAAGAAUAAUUUCUCUGAAGAGCUAUAUGUCCCUUUGAGAAAGAAGGAGCAGAAAAAUAAUUCAGUCAAGAGACAUGGGCAAACUCAUAAGGCAGAAUUCAGCUUUCAGACUGCCUGGCCCAAGAGCAUAUGGAGCAAUAGAGGAAACAAACCCUAAUGAGAACAAGGAAAAGGGGGGAAAAAGGCCUAGUUGAAGAGCCAGAAUCUUCAGGGACCUUUGAAAUACCAGGAUGAUGCCAUCUGAAUCUCAGAAAGAACCUCAUUCCAGAAGAUGUUCCAGAAGAAUACCAUAAUGGAUGGUAAUGCCAUAAUGCCAAAGCUACCAAAAUAUCAAGAAGAGUCAGAAAAAUUGCACUAUCUCCAUUCUGUCCUACUAAUAAUCAUUUAAAAAAAACGCUAAUCAAUCAAUAUCAUCUCACCUUCUGUUUGUUGUUUGGUCUUGUUUCAGUUACUGGAGGUACAGAUAGAGAACAUUUUUAAUACACAUAAAGUAUAUCUUCUCCAAAAAUUAUAAUAGGGAGUGCCUAGUUAAUAAUCCUUGCUUAUGCAGACAUAAUAUUCACUAUAGCAUUAUUCAAUUACUUCACCAUUUGGGUUAUCCAGUUAAAAACACACACACAAUUUCACAUCAAAAGUAAAAGAACAGAGAUGUGGAACAUAACUGUAUUGCACUUUUAAAAAAUGGUCUUGAUGUCUUUUAAAAAUUCUUCUUCCUUCUGUUAACCCACACAUUUUUAAAUAGCCUACAAUGUAAUUGGAUAAAUUCAAUUAUUUUAUUUCCUUGCAGGUGUCUGAAAGAUCCGCAUAAACUGGUGUAUAAGAGUAUCAGAGCUUCUAUAUUCCACUGAAUUUUUUUAAAAAUACUGCUGACAGAAGGUUAUGUAUAGCAGAUGGUCAUACAUUUUCAGGGGUGUAGCAUCAGUAUACUGUGUCAGUAUAAACCUUGGCACAAAAUACAUACAUUGAUUUUAGCAGCCCACCUCUGGCUGACUUCUGCCUGCUAAGUUUCCAAGAACUUCUGUUUCAUUUAUGACAUGUUUGGCAGCCAUAUUUGUUGGUAUAUUUAAAGUAUUAUCAAUAUCUGCCCAAGUCUGUUCUCAAAGGAAGGCCUCCUGUUAAUUUAAAGACACAGUGUACAAUUUAAUCACAGUAACAAUAUAGAUGUGUUCUUGCAAAAAGAGAUGAUCAGCCCAAUUUCAACAGAUGUAGAAUUUCAACAGAUGUAGAACCAACAAAAGUGUGUAUAGUUGCAAUGUAUGGCUGUGAAAGUUGGACCAUAAGGAAGGCUGAGUGCCAAAGAAUUGAGGCCUUUGAACCGUGAUGCUGGAGGAGACUUCUACGAGUCCCUUGCACUGCAAGGCAAUCAAACUGGCCAGUCCUACAGGAGAUAAACCCUGGCUGCUCUUUAGAAGGCCAG